GACGAACGCUGGCGGCGUGCCUAAUACAUGCAAGUUGAGCGCUGAAGGUUGGUACUUGUACCAACUGGAUGAGCAGCGAACGGGUGAGUAACGCGUGGGGAAUCUGCCUUUGAGCGGGGGACAACAUUUGGAAACGAAUGCUAAUACCGCAUAAAAACUUUAAACACAAGUUUUAAGUUUGAAAGAUGCAAUUGCAUCACUCAAAGAUGAUCCCGCGUUGUAUUAGCUAGUUGGUGAGGUAAAGGCUCACCAAGGCGAUGAUACAUAGCCGACCUGAGAGGGGGAUCGGCCACAGUGGGACUGAGACACGGCCCAAACUCCUACGGGAGGCAGCAGUAGGGAAUCUUCGGCAAUGGACGAAAGUCUGACCGAGCAACGCCGCGUGAGUGAAGAAGGUUUUCGGAUCGUAAAACUCUGUUGGUAGAGAAGAACGUUGGUGAGAGUGGAAAGCUCAUCAAGUGACGGUAACUACCCAGAAAGGGACGGCUAACUACGUG
rnacentral:rRNA from 1 species